AUUAUAUAUUAUUUUUCUUUUUCAGAAACAAAUUCGAUAUUCAAAAAAGCCCCUGAACGUCCUACAACUGAUACGAAAGAUUGUAUUAUCGUGGAUAAUAAUAUAUUAGAUAAUCCUAUAGAAGGACAAUACGAUAUGUUUGUCGAGAAGGAAGAGCCUUACUGCAUUAAAAACGUACGAAACAAUUUUAAGUGCCAACAACAAUAAGCCGUUACAUGUGACACAUAAUCUAUAAAAAUCUAUAAAAAUCAAUUUUAUAAUAAUUGUAAAUAUGUAAAUUGAUGUAUUAAAUCGUUUGAGCAGCA